rnacentral:rRNA from 1 species
AUUGGACGCUGGCGGCAUGCUUUACACAUGCAAGUCGAACGGUAACAGGGAGCUUGCUCCGCUGACGAGUGGCGAACGGGUGAGUAAUGCGUCGGAACGUGCCGAGCAGUGGGGGAUAACGCAUCGAAAGGUGUGCUAAUACCGCAUACGAACUGAGGUUGAAAGUGGGGGACCUUCGGGCCUCACGCUAUUCGAGCGGCCGACGUCUGAUUAGCUAGUUGGUGAGGUAAAGGCUCACCAAGGCGACGAUCAGUAGCGGGUCUGAGAGGAUGAUCCACCACACUGGGACUGAGACACGGCCCAGACUCCUACGGGAGGCAGCAGUGGGGAAUUUUGGACAAUGGGCGCAAGCCUGAUCCAGCCAUGCCGCGUGUCUGAAGAAGGCCUUCGGGUUGUAAAGGACUUUUGUCCGGGAGCAAAUGCUGGUGGCUAACAUCCACCGGAGCUGAGAGUACCGGAAGAAUAAGCACCGGCUAACUACGUGCCAGCAGCCGCCGUAAAAC